ensembl:snoRNA
UCUGCCCCGAGAGCAUUGCCGGUGUGGCUUCUGUGUCACAUGAGCAUCAGUAGGUGGCAGAGAGAAGAAAGGCUGAGUGUGUGUGUGUGUGUGUGUGUGUGUGUGUGUGUGACCUGUGUACAUCUGAAUGGUGACUAGUCUAACAUU